rnacentral:rRNA from 1 species
CGACAAGCAGCGGAGCAUGUGGUUUAAUUCGACGCAACGCGAAGAACCUUACCUGGGUUUGACAUGGCAGUGUAAGCCGUGGAAACACGGCCCCUCGCGAGAGCACUGUCACAGGUGGUGCAUGGCUGUCGUCAGCUCGUGUCGUGAGGUGUUGGGUUAAGUCCCCGCAACGAGCGCAACCCCUGUCCUAUGUUGCCAGCGGAUAAUGCCGGGGACUCGUAGGAUACUGCCGGUGACAAACCGGAGGAAGGUGGGAUGACGUCAAGUCAUCAUGCCCCUUAUGUCCAGGGCUACACACGUGCUACAAUGGCCGGUACAAAGGGCUGCAAGACCGCGAGGUGGAGCGAAUCCCAAAAGGCGGUCCCAGUUCAGAUUGUGGGCUGAAACUCGCCCACAUGAAGGCGGAAUUGCUAGUAAUUGCAGAUCAGCAUGCUGCAGUGAAUACGUUCCCGGGCCUU